GACUUCUGGCAAUCAAACCCAAGAGUGAAUAUAGCAAAUGAAAGGGUCGAAGCAAUUAUAGAUGAAAUCAAUUGGAUGAGGGAGAGGGAGAGAAGACUACAGAGAGGGGGGGAGAAGACCUAGGGCUCUCCGGCCACAGCGGUUGAUAGUUGAUUGCUCAUGUACGCUAUGGCCGUGAAGAUUUGGGGUUUUACAUAUCCCGUGGAAGUUGGCUUGUUCGUUUACUCCGAGUAAAUUAGGAGUUUAAUUACAUUCAUUUGUACAUGUGGAGAGUUUAAUGUUUAUUGCUGCUGGAGUUUAUUUUGGUUAACAACAUAAAUGGCCCGUCUAGCUUCUGGUGGUGGGUGUUGGUGGUGGGUCGGGAGUUACUGACCCGUCUAGCUUCUGGUUUUGAAACAUUCUGAGCUUUUUGGAAUUAGGCCCUCUUGUAAAAUGGCAAAUUAAAGAGAUGUGGUGAAAGCACCAAAUUGGUGUAUGCUAAUGUCACCACCCAAGAUGUGUCUUCUUUUGGAACCGACUGAUCAGAACAAAGAUGUUGAAAAAGGCUGAUGGUAUAGCAGGUGUGGUUUCAUGCAAAGAAGGUAUAUGAAGGUGACAGAAGUCUCACAAAGAACUGCAGGCUUCUUGGAACAUUUGAUCCCUCUGGAAUCCCUCUAGCUCCAAGGGGCACCCCACAAGGCCACAAAUCUAAGUCACAUUCGAAGUAAACACCAGUAUAUUAAACAUGAAGGCAGAAUACAAUGUGGGUGGCAAAUUUGGAAAAGAUCACUUUCACCGAUCAGAAGGGUCGGUUAAGCCAAGAAAAGAGAGCAUAUGAUUCACGAAGCCCAAGAGUUUGCUGAACGUGAAUUCAUUAAAUAAUUUCACAUCAUAUUUUACAUAUAAGCGUAGCUUACAUUCAAUGU
rnacentral:lncRNA from 1 species